CAGCAGCCGCGGGAAUACAGAGGGUGCAAGCGUUAAUCGGAUUUACUGGGCGUAAAGGGCGCGUAGGUGGUUAUUUAAGUGAGAUGUGAAAGCCCCGGGCUUAACCUGGGAACUGCAUCUUAUACUGGGUAACUGGAGUGCAGUAGAGGGUAGUGGAAUUUCCGGUGUAGCGGUGAAAUGCGUAGAGAUCUGGAGGAAUACCGGUGGCGAAGGCGGCCCCUUGGACAAAGACUGACGCUCAGGUGCGAAAGCGUGGGGAGCAAACAGGAUUAGAUACCCCGGUAGUCCCUGUCUCUUAUAC
rnacentral:rRNA from 1 species